AGGAUGUGGAAUUGCACAGACAACCAGGAUGUUGGCUUAGAAGCAGCCACUCAUUUAAAGAGUGCGUAAUAGCUCACUGGUCGAGUGAUUCUGCGCCGAAAAUUUCCGGGGCUAAAACUUACUACCGAAGCUACGGCAUCAUUAUGAUGGGUAGGGGAGCUUUCUAUGCGGCUUGAAGCAUGACCGUAAGGACAUGUGGACUGCAUAGAAGUGAGAAUGUUGGCAUGAGUAGCGAGAUGUGGGUGAGAAUCCCACAGGCCGUAAACCCAAGGUUUCCAGGGGAAGGUUCGUCCGCCCUGGGUUAGUCAGGACCUAAGCCGAGGCCGAAAGGCGUAGGUGAUGGACAACAGGUUGAUAUUCCUGUACCACCAAUAACCGUUUGAGAAAUGGGAUGACACAGUAGGAUAAGCUAACCGCACUGUUGGUUAUGUGCGGGCAAGUAUUGAGGCAGUUCCGAUAGGCAAAUCCGUCGGAAUAAUGCUGGGGUACGAUGCGGAGCGAAAUUUAGUAGCGAAGUAGCUGAUUUCACACUGUCGAGAAAAGUCUCUAUCGAGGUUAAAGGUGCCUGUACCGCAAACCGACACAGGUGGGUGAGGAGAGUAUCCUAAGGCCAGCGAGAGAACUGUUGUUAAGGAACUCGGCAAAAUGACCCCGUAACUUAGGGAGAAGGGGUGCCUUCGAAAGAAGGCCGCAGAGAAUAGGCCCAAGCGACUGUUUACCAAAAACAUAGGUUUCUGCUAAGUCGCAAGACGAUGUAUAGGAGCUGACGCCUGCCCGGUGCUGGAAGGUUAAGGGGAUCUGUUAGAGCAAUCGAAGCAGUGAACUUAAGCCCCAGUAAACGGCGGCCGUAACUAUAACGGUCCUAAGGUAGCGAAAUUCCUUGUCGGGUAAGUUCCGACCCGCACGAAAGGCGUAACGAUUUGGGCACUGUCUCAACAACAGACUCGGUGAAAUUGUAAUCCCGGUGAAGAUGCCGGGUACCUGCGACAGGACGGAAAGACCCCAUGGAGCUUUACUGUAGCUUGACGUUGGGUCUUGGUACUACAUGUACAGGAUAGGUGGGAGACUAUGAAGCAUGGACGUCAGUCUGUGUGGAGUCAUCCUUGGGAUACCACCCUUGUAGUACUGGGAUUCUAACCAGAGGCCAUGAAUCUGGUCUUGGGACACUGUCAGGUGGACAGUUUGACUGGGGCGGUCGCCUCCCAAAAAGUAACGGAGGCGCUCAAAGGUUCUCUCAGUACGGUCGGAAAUCGUACGAAGAGUGUAAAGGCAAAAGAGAGCUUGAUUGCAAGACAUACAGGUCGAGCAAGGACGAAAGUCGGACUUAGUGAUCCGGUGGUUCCGCAUGGAAGGGCCAUCGCUCAACGGAUAAAAGCUA
rnacentral:rRNA from 1 species